rnacentral:lncRNA from 1 species
GAUUUUUUAAAAAAAAUUUUGUUCCCACUUAUCACUUUCUUUGGAAUGGAUCGGGAUGAGAAUGAAUUUUUCGUUGAAUGAGAUUGAUCAAGAGAAGGAAGGAAUCUCCUGCCUCCUACUCCAUUAUCUUGAGUAUUUAAAAGAUUAACUUUUUUAGUUUUGACCCUCACUUAUUGUCUUAUUCGGGACGGAUCAGUACACAAGUUCUAAUCCUGAUUCAUUUACAUUCCUAUUCGAGCCUUUCAUCCUUCGAUAUUCCUUUUCAUAAUAGAACAUUUGAAUUGAAGAUUAAUUCUGCUAAAAAAAUCAAUAGUAUUUUAACUUCGUAUAAAUUAAAUUUUAUUAACUUUUUAAUAUUAUAUAUUUUGUUGUCCAAUAAACUUAAAUAAUAUGCUUUCUAUCUUUUGUCCACAGAUCACAAAAUUUGGUUUUUAUAAAAUUUAGGAAAAACUUCAAAAAAACCCCAUGUGGUUUCGUAGUUUCUCACUUUACCCCCUGUGGUUUAAAAUAUAUCAAUUUGCCUCCCUGUGGUUUUUUUUUCUCUUUUUCUUAUCAAUUUCAUUAUUUUUUUUUCUUAAAUCAGUGAUAAAGUUAAAAUUAAAGGGUACUAAAGUGAAUAUUUGAUAAAUCUAGAUGGGUAUUUGAAGUUUUUUGUAUAUAAUUUAAUGAAAUAUUAACAAAAAAAACUACCGAAAAGAUAAAAAAGAAACCUCAGGGGGGGCUAUUUGAUUCAUUUUAAACCACAGGGGAGCAAAGUGAGAAACUACGAAACCACUGGGGGAUUUUUGAAGUUUUCCCCAAAAUUUAUAAGGGUUUUAUUCAUAUACCAUUCAUGUGAUUUCGUACUUUCUUACUUUAAUACCAUGUGGUUUAAAGUAUAUCAAGUUAGUAUCCUAUAGUUUCAUUUUUAUCUUUUUGUCGGCUUUUUCGUUAAUAUUUUGUUAAAUUAUAUUAAAAAAUUUCAGAUAAUUCACAUAGGUUUAUUGAAUAUUUGUUUUAGUACCCUUUAAUAUUAAUUUUGUCACUAAUUUAACAAAAAAAAUUAGUAGAAUUUAUAAUAAAAAGAUAAAAAUAAAAUCACAGGAUACUAAAUUAAUACACUUUAAACCACACGGUACUAAAGUGAAAAAAAUGUUUAAUCACAUGGGAGGUAUUUAAAGUUUUUCCAAUUUAUAAAUAGU